rnacentral:rRNA from 1 species
AUUGAACGCUGGCGGCAGGCCUAACACAUGCAAGUCGAACGGUAACAGGGAUCAGCUUGCUGAUUCGCUGACGAGUGGCGGACGGGUGAGUAAUGUCUGGGAAACUUCCUGAUGGAGGGGGAUAACUACUGGAAACGGUAGCUAAUACCGCAUAACGUCGCAAGACCAAAGAGGGGGACCUUCGGGCCUCUUGCCAUCGGAUGUGCCCAGAUGGGUUUAGCUAGUAGGUGGGGUAACGGCUCACCUAGGCGACGAUCCCUAGCUGGUCUGAGAGGAUGACCAGCCACACUGGAACUGAGACACGGUCCAGACUCCUACGGGAGGCAGCAGUGGGGAAUAUUGCACAAUGGGCGCAAGCCUGAUGCAGCCAUGCCGCGUGUAUGAAGAAGGCCUUCGGGUUGUAAAGUACUUUCAGCGGGGAGGAAGGGAGUAAAGUUAAUACCUUUGCUCAUUGACGUUACCCGCAGAAGAAGCACCGGCUAACUCCGUG